GGACACCAGCCAGCCAGCUCUGGAACAGCCUCUUCUCUCACCACCCGCUCACACACACCCUGCACCCUCCAGGCCAGAGAGACCCAGGACACUCCAGGUGACCUCCUCCUCCCCCGCACUUCACCAUGUACUUCACCGUGCACCCGGCACUGCCCGAGAGGCAUCCUGCCCUCCCACGACCCCACCCACAGCCCAGCCCUAACGUCAGCAAAGGGCCUUUCCUCUAGGGGUGGGGGCUGGGGUCCCUGAGACACUCCAGUCCCUUCACCUCAGCACCGUCCACACCGUCGGGAGCACAGUGGUCCCGAUGCCCGCCCCUCCUGCCUGAAUUAGGAAGCAUCCGGAUGAUGCUGAGGACUCCUGCCUGUGACCCCGAGCAUGACACAGUGAUGGCAGGAGGUCACUGCUUUGUGCCACCCUGUUCCGGACUCCACAGCGACUGCAUCAUCCCAUCACACACGGGCCUAUAAACGAGGGACUCUCCAUCUUACAGGAGAUAAAUCUGAGACUCAGAGAGACCAAGUCACCAGCUACAGUCACCAGCGAGAAGGUGGCAGCACAGGGUCACUUCUAGGCGCCUGGCAGAGGACCUCCCUGCGAGGGUUUGAGGUCUCUUGACGACAUGCCCCCUCCCUUCCCUGCACUUUAACCUUUCCCCACCUUGCCCAUCUCUCCCCUCCCCCAGACUCUGAUUGGUGGGUCUGGGCCAGAAACUGAGCAUGCGCGAUCCACU
rnacentral:lncRNA from 1 species